rnacentral:lncRNA from 1 species
AGGAGUCUAAGAGGGACGUAUGUCUAAGGAAGAGGUGUCAUGAAGCAAGAAGUAUGGAAGCAGUUUCGCCAAGAAGAAGGAAGGUGAAACCAAUGCAGUGCCAGUAGGGAGGCAGAGGAGGCCUCAUGUCAAAAUAAAUUCGCAACCGCGUCAGCAUCAUCACUAAGUUUCAUCAGUUAUUCUAGUAUUUUCAAACAAUCAAUCAAUGCCAGUUCAACAACAACGUCAACAACAACCGCAACAAAGAACAAAC